UUCCCUCUCCAGAGUGAACGCUGGCGGUAGGCCUAACACAUGCAAGUCGAACGGCAGCACAGAAGAGCUUGCUCUUUGGGUGGCGAGUGGCGGACGGGUGAGGAAUACAUCGGAAUCUACUCUGUCGUGGGGGAUAACGUAGGGAAACUUACGCUAAUACCGCAUACGACCUACGGGUGAAAGCAGGGGAUCUUCGGACCUUGCGCGAUUGAAUGAGCCGAUGUCGGAUUAGCUAGUUGGCGGGGUAAAGGCCCACCAAGGCGACGAUCCGUAGCUGGUCUGAGAGGAUGAUCAGCCACACUGGAACUGAGACACGGUCCAGACUCCUACGGGAGGCAGCAGUGGGGAAUAUUGGACAAUGGGCGCAAGCCUGAUCCAGCCAUACCGCGUGGGUGAAGAAGGCCUUCGGGUUGUAAAGCCCUUUUGUUGGGAAAGAAAUCCAGCCGGCUAAUACCCGGUUGGGAUGACGGUACCCAAAGAAUAAGCACCGGCUAACUUCGUGCCAGCAGCCGCGGUAAUACGAAGGGUGCAAGCGUUACUCGGAAUUACUGGGCGUAAAGCGUGCGUAGGUGGUCGUUUAAGUCCGUUGUGAAAGCCCUGGGCUCAACCUGGGAACUGCAGUGGAUACUGGGCGACUAGAGUGUGGUAGAGGGUAGCGGAAUUCCUGGUGUAGCAGUGAAAUGCGUAGAGAUCAGGAGGAAACAUCCAUGGCGAAAGGCAGCUACCUGGACCAACCACUACC
rnacentral:rRNA from 1 species